rnacentral:rRNA from 1 species
UACGGAGGAUCCGAGCGUUAUCCGGAUUUAUUGGGUUUAAAGGGAGCGUAGGCGGCCUGUUAAGUCAGGGGUGAAAGACGGUGGCUCAACCAUCGCAGUGCCUUUGAUACUGACAGGCUUGAAUGUAGUUGAGGUGGGCGGAAUGUGACAAGUAGCGGUGAAAUGCAUAGAUAUGUCACAGAACACCGAUUGCGAAGGCAGCUCACUAAGCUAUGAUUGACGCUGAGGCUCGAAAGCGUGGGGAUCAAACAGG